rnacentral:lncRNA from 1 species
UUAAAUCCUACCCUCCCUCCUCUCUUCCUCAGGAGCAAAUGCAAUGUAGAGCUCUGCUACUGAAAGAAAACUGAGGAGUUGGAAGUGUUCACUGUUCUUUAUCCUCUUGGCGUGGAGCACACAGGAAAUAAGUGCUGAAGUGUAGCCUAUGGUUACUUCUAAGGCAAAAAUCUCUGUGGGUUUAACGUGUGGGAUCAUGUAAGGGACAACUCCAGUUACUGAAGACUGGUUAUCAACUCCUGAGAAUUUGGAAUGAAUGUUGACAUGGUCCCAUAACACUGAGUGAAUGGGCGGCAAAAUGUGGAUUUUUUGAAAAUCUGCAAAGGAACUAUAAGAUUCGUCAAGCAAAAUUUGGCUGGCAGAGGGUCUGGAUAACAGGUGACAUGCCAAAAGAGUGCAGGGGUAGAAUUACUUUAAAACGAU